AUUUACAUAUUGAUAAUAUUAUUCGUAAUCAUGGAACGAUCUAGAACAAUCGACUAGCCUAAGGAGAAGAAAAAUGCAUUUAAAUUAUAAUUAAUGUUUGGGAGAAGAACUUUUGAAAACAGUCGGAAACGGUUGGAUGACGAGCAAGAUGAAACGGUAUAAUGUGCAAUGAUGCUUUCAAAGUUUGAUUGCAUAAACGGUGACCGCGGUGAGCCGACAAACGAACGACUUUCGGACU